CACCGCGUCCGUUGCCCUGUGCUUGAACCUGAGUAGUUAAGAGAGUGGGUCUUGCGGAUCCUGCUCCGGGGGAAAACUGGUGGGAAGUCAGGACAGAUUACAAAAAAAAACUCUUUGCACCCGUCAAGGCUUAAAAACUGUGUAGCAUCAUAUUAAACCCGUGGGCUGGUUAUUGAUGACAUAUACUGUAUAUCAAGUGCUUUAGCAUGCGAUAGGGAAGGUGUAAGCGUGUGAUGUGCGAGCUCUCAUUUAAUCCUCUAACAACCCUGUGAGGUAAGGACUAGUUAUCAUUCCCAUUUUAGAGUAUGGAGGCCCAGAGAAGUUAAGUAACUUGCCCAAGGUCACAGAGCUAGUGAGUGGCAGAGCCUGGUUUGAAUCAGUGGGCCCAGCAGAUGCUGAAGUCACUCUAAGUGUAGACAUCACCAACAGGGGAGAAUAAAGAUCAAGAAGCCACAAGCCUUGUACUCAGGAAACUCAUAGUCAUUGGGGCAGCCUCAUGGGUGCGUGGGGAAAAGUAAUACCAGGGUCAUGGCUAGGAUGGAGGCAGGGGGAACAGAGAGGAGACCCAGUCCAGCCUGAGAGGAGGUGGGCCAGUCAGGUAGGCCAUUGCCUUGGGCCUGAGGGUGAGAAAGUCUUCGCCAGGCAGGGGAAGAGGAAGGAGUUGUAUUCCAGCCCGUGGAAGAAGCAGCGGGGUGGAAAGUUGGCAUUCCCAUGGAACAUUUGGAAGGGAAAACCUCACAAGAACUUUCUUCCCCAGUGGAUGCAGAGGGGAAGAGUAGAAGUGCGGUCCAAAUUCCUUUCUGGGGAGGUACAUCCUGCUUCCCUGCUGGCACAUGUCUGGCUGCUGUGAAAUGGAUCUUAGAUCGUUAUCCUGGGAUUGUCCAGAGUGUGUUAUCAGAUGAGCAGGUUACUGGAAGGUUGGUGGCAGGUUUAGGGAAUGCUGGUUGCUGCAGUAGGGAGUUUAGUGAGGGGGUGGGCGGAGGACAGGCCGUCCUCACAGCAUUUACUGUAAAGUCCUGUGGAAAUGCCUUCACAGCUCAGCUCAGACGUCACUUUCUCCUGGGAGCCCGUCCUGACCCCUGUGCUAGGUCAGGAUGCCUGUGGAAUGCGCUGGUAAACAGCUUGUCCUUUUCCUUCCUGGCACUUCCCGUGUCUGUAAUACAUAGGAAAGUGUGUGAUUCUGCGACCUUUGUCCCUCCACAGCUACCUGCCACUGAAAACACCAAGAGCACUCACUGCCCCUGAAAUGUGCUUCCAGCCCUCGGCCCAGGGCCAGGUUUACAGUUGGUGCUUAGUAAAUAUUUGUCAAAUGAAUUAAUAGGGGUAAAUCCCCUGAUGUGUCCUCCCUUCCCAGCCCUGCCUCCCGGCAUUAGGGCCGAUUACAAAAUGAAAGUAAAAAACUUGUUUUUCACCACUCUGGGACCUGUGUGGUCACUCAGAAACUCCAAACAGGGCAGGAGAGUUGAACUGUCAGAAGGACUAAAUUCUAAUGGUCACUCUGCCACUCGCUGAGCAACCUUGGGGCUGUUAUGGGCCAGGGCUCCCCUGAGCAUCAGUUUACUCAUUUGUCAAAUGAUCAGAUUGCACUAGAAUUUGAGGGUCACAUGCAAACACACUCUGAUGUUAGAGCCAAGGUCUCAGAAAUCUCGCUGUGUCUGGCAGCCCCGUGGACCGAGAGCAUGGGAGGGCUGCUCUUUGGAUGGUGGGCAGAUUUUGCUGUUGUUGUUACAUACGCACCACAUUGUAUGCAAAAUUCCUGGUUUCUUAUAAACUAGAUGGUCACUUGUCCACUCAGGGGAAACAGUCCAACUCAAUGAGGAGACAAUAACGCUUAUUUUUGCCCUGUAAAGUAUUGAAUCAAGCCCUGGGUUUGGGCCAUCUGUGUUGGCAGUAAAAUUUGUUUUCAGGUCUAAGCUGUCUCCCUUAAGUCAUUUUGACUCUGAGAGGAGAGGGAGGACCAAUCGGCAAAGGUGAAGGGCAGCCCAGGCCCAGUUUUGCUUAUCUCUGUACCCAUGUAAGCCUUGUGGGACAGGGGUGGAGAGUGAGGCCUUUCUAAUGCCUGCAGUCCUCAUGUGGUAGGAAGUGAGGAAAAUGAAGCCAAGCAGCAUAAGAUGAGGAAAAACACCCCUCUGCAAGUGUGGUGUGAGUUAUCAGUAUGAGGCAAUGAUGUGGCCCUAGUCUGCAUUAAUAGAAGUAUGCCAUCCAGAAUGAGGGAGGUGAUUUUGCAUCUCUUUUUAACUGCUAAUGGGGGUAUUUUUAGUUCUGCUGCUCUUACCCUGUGACAGUACCCUUAGGUUUCCUUUGUAGAAUCACUCUUCCCUACUUCUAAUCCACGUGGACUAAGGUGGAUGGAUGGAGUAGGCCCCAUUCGUGGGCUCCCAGGAAAUUCCAUCUUCCUGGACAUAGUGAUUGGCUCUGAUUGGGUCACCUAGCCAUGAACCAGAGAGAAUCAAUGGAACUCCUCCUGGAAAUGCUAGGAGAAUGACAGAUACUCUUUCCAUCUAGACUUCAACCUGAAAGGGUGUGUAGCUGAGUUUCUAGAGUCUUUGUCUCCAUAAGAAAGAGCCUGAGAAUAAAUUUAUCGUAAAGGAAAUGGAGCCUGACAAUAUCAUUGGAGCACCUGGAUCCAGCCAAGCCUGAAGUCACUAUGUGUUUUUAUCGGAUGUUCAUUAUGGCCAUUUUUAUACUUCACUCCUGAAGCACAUUUAGCUUGUUUUGAGGCUUCUGCUGAUACCAACGAUGGGACAGUGAACUUCCUGGGUUGAAGGUAGAAUCUGCGUGUUCCCUUUUAUCAAGGACUGUACCACAACUACUGUGGAUUAAAGCACUCAUUACCCUACUUCCCCUUGAAGAGGGAAGGAGCUGGACACAAACUGCCAAAUGAGAAGGUUUGAAAAGGAGCUGAACGAUCUGUUCGGGGACGGGCUGCUCAGGGCGGUGACCUUGGAAACGCAGCUGAACGGUUUCCCAAGACAGGCCCCAGGCCUCCUGGCCUCUCCUCUAAUGACCCUGAAAACAGGCAGCUUUGCAGGAGCAGCUAGAAAAUUCCAGAAACCGCAGGCCUUUGGGGCUGGGGGCUGGUUUUAACUUCCCCCAACCCCAUUGUACAGAUACAGAGAGUGAGGCUGAGAGGCAGGAGAAAGAGACAGACCCAUAUGGGUCUGGUCUCCCCUCUUUCCCCAGAGUUAAGCUUGACUUGGCAAGAGGGUCAAGUGCCAUAUGAAGGUGCGGGAGGAUGUCCUCAGCCCCCGAAGUUCCAUCCGAGUCCCAGACCAGUGGCCAAUCUCAGGAUUUUAUAUUUCAACUGAGCUGUCCCCUCAGAUGAGGCUCCUUCUACCCUCCAUGUCCUGCCCCUUUAAGAAGAGACCAGUCCUUGCUUUAUGUCAUUCACAGGAUUUAUUGUCACUUGCCAGUGGCUAGCAGGGGAAGGGGACACGCUGCCGAGCCUCACCACGGGCACAGGUGGCGCUGGGCCACCCAGCACUAUUUACACACGUUUCGCACGGGGCGCGUCCUCACUGGCAGCAGUUGCACUUCUCCUCAGCUUCGGCGCCCUCUCCGCCUUUACACACACAAUCCUUGGCGCAUUUCUCACACUCUGCGGGGCAGCAGGAGCAGCAGCCUGCAGAUAAAAUAGGGGCACCCAGUCUGAUGGCCUCGCCUCCCCCAUCUGUCCCCAUCAAGAGGGAGGGGGAAAAAAGGAGGGAUGCCAGAGGUCACUGCCCCCUUCCUAGUCUCACACCUGGGUUGACUCAGCAUCUCUGUUGUGUCAGCUAUGCUCUGGGCUACCCUGGGAGAGGGGUACCUAGUAACUAGCCCACAGCCCCUUCUGUGAGCACAGGACUCCCCGGGAUGGGGGGAUUAGGCCCACCCUGGGGAGUUGUAAGCCUGGAGGAGAAAACAUCCAGGGUAAAUGGCCUUGAAGGAUAAAGCUGCAGGAGCAGAGAUGGUACAGGUGUAGGGAGUCCAGGAGAUUCAUGGCCAGGGGGUGGGGUGGGGGUGCUCCACACCCAGUCUAACACGCAAAGAAGAAGGGCGCCUUCCCCCCACCUCCUUCUCCCCCUGCGUGUUCAACUGCUUUGGGGAGAUUCAGGGGAGGUAAAAUCGAGGGGAUCCACAAAGGCCCGAGACAGCCCAACGGACCCCAACUCCAGAGCUAACCCCCAGCCUCACUAAUGGCUCCCCAGGCACUGGAGGUUUUGAGGGGAGGAAUUGGACCAGGAUAGCAUUUCUCAAUCCCAACUGCCCAUUAGAAUCUUCCGGGAAUUUACAAAAACAUCUUGCCACCGUAGGGCCUAAGGUAACAAUCAUUGAGGGAGGGGCCCCUGCAACUGAGUCUUAAGGCCUCCCGCGUGGUUCUGUUACGUCAAAGCAAUGUAACAGGGGGCCUAGGGGUCGCUCUGUAUUGCGUGGACAGGCCUUGUGCUCUGAGGAGCACAGCAGGGAGGGGAAGGGCAGAGGGGUCCCCACACUCACUCUUCUUGCAGGAGGUGCAUUUGCAUCCCUCACACUUGCAGGAGUCAGCGCAGGUGCAGGAGCCGCCUAGAGAGGGAGGUGCCACAGGAAGGGUUAAAGUGGUAAAACUUGGGGUGGGGCCAGGCCCCUUGGGGGAAAUGACUCCCUUUCCCCAAAUGUCCUUGAGCAAAGGCGUAGGGCACGGGGUUCUUUGCAAGUAAAGGGGCGCGCUGUGCCGCAGGAUGGGGGCGGGGGCUCACCAGUAGGGCAGGGGCAGGUCUCAGGAUCCAUGUCGAGAGGAGCUGCC